rnacentral:rRNA from 1 species
GCGCGCGUAGGCGGUUUCUUAAGUCUGAUGUGAAAGCCCCCGGCUCAACCGGGGAGGGUCAUUGGAAACUGGGAGACUUGAGUGCAGAAGAGGAGAGUGGAAUUCCAUGUGUAGCGGUGAAAUGCGCAGAGAUAUGGAGGAACACCAGUGGCGAAGGCGGCUCUCUGGUCUGUAACUGACGCUGAGGUGCGAAAGCGUGGGGAUCAAACAGGAUUAGAUACCCUGGUAGUCCACGCCGUAAACGAUGAGUGCUAAGUGUUGGGGGGUUUCCGCCCCUCAGUGCUGCAGCUAACGCAU